rnacentral:rRNA from 1 species
GACGAACGCUGGCGGCGUGCUUAACACAUGCAAGUCGAACGGAAAGGCCCUGCUUUUGUGGGGUGCUCGAGUGGCGAACGGGUGAGUAACACGUGAGUAACCUGCCCUUGACUUUGGGAUAACUUCAGGAAACUGGGGCUAAUACCGGAUAGGAGCUCCUGCUGCAUGGUGGGGGUUGGAAAGUUUCGGCGGUUGGGGAUGGACUCGCGGCUUAUCAGCUUGUUGGUGGGGUAGUGGCUUACCAAGGCUUUGACGGGUAGCCGGCCUGAGAGGGUGACCGGCCACAUUGGGACUGAGAUACGGCCCAGACUCCUACGGGAGGCAGCAGUGGGGAAUAUUGCACAAUGGGCGGAAGCCUGAUGCAGCAACGCCGCGUGCGGGAUGAUGGCCUUCGGGUUGAAAACCGCUUUCGCCUGUGACGAAGCGUGAGUGACGGUAAUGGGUAAAGAAGCACCGGCUAACUACGUG